rnacentral:rRNA from 1 species
GACAGAGGAUGCAAGCGUUAUCCGGAAUGAUUGGGCGUAAAGCGUCUGUAGGUGGCUUUUCAAGUCCGCCGUCAAAUCCCAGGGCUCAACCCUGGACAGGCGGUGGAAACUACCAAGCUGGAGUACGGUAGGGGCAGAGGGAAUUUCCGGUGGAGCGGUGAAAUGCAUUGAGAUCGGAAAGAAACACCAACGGCGAAAGCACUCGUGCUGGGACCGACACUGACACUGAGAGACGAAAGCUAGGGGAGCAAAUGGG